UACGGAGGGGGCUAGCGUUGUUCGGAAUUACUGGGCGUAAAGCGCACGUAGGCGGCUAUUCAAGUCAGAGGUGAAAGCCCGGGGCUCAACUCCGGAACUGCCUUUGAAACUAGAUGGCUAGAAUCUUGGAGAGGCGAGUGGAAUUCCGAGUGUAGAGGUGAAAUUCGUAGAUAUUCGGAAGAACACUAGUGGCGAAGGCGACUCGCUGGACAAGUAUUGACGCUGAGGUGCGAAAGCGUGGGGAGCAAACAGG
rnacentral:rRNA from 1 species